UGGUGGCGAUAGCGAAGAGGUCACACCCGUUCCCAUACCGAACACGGAAGUUAAGCUCUUCAGCGCCGAUGGUAGUUGGGGGCUUCCCCCUGUGAGAGUAGGACGCUGCCAAGCU
rnacentral:rRNA from 1 species